AAAAACAGUGUAUUCGUUACCAGAUACUGGGUAAGAACAACCUGCUGAGAAAAAAGGUCAAAUAGGACUUACAACUGCCGGUUACUGGGCAGAAGACCAAAGAGAGGAGAAAAUUCAUCAUCGGUUAAGAUGAACAUAUCAAGGAUAAAGUCAAAGGAAGAAUAUCUGUCAUCGAUUAGGAUGAACAUAUCAAGGAUAGACUGUCG
rnacentral:lncRNA from 1 species